GCGAAAAGAACCCCGGCGAGGGGAGUGAAAAAGAACCUGAAACCGUGUACGUACAAGCAGUGGGAGCACGCUUAGGCGUGUGACUGCGUACCUUUUGUAUAAUGGGUCAGCGACUUAUAUUCUGUAGCAAGGUUAACCGAAUAGGGGAGCCGAAGGGAAACCGAGUCUUAACUGGGCGUUAAGUUGCAGGGUAUAGACCCGAAACCCGGUGAUCUAGCCAUGGGCAGGUUGAAGGUUGGGUAACACUAACUGGAGGACCGAACCGACUAAUGUUGAAAAAUUAGCGGAUGACUUGUGGCUGGGGGUGAAAGGCCAAUCAAACCGGGAGAUAGCUGGUUCUCCCCGAAAGCUAUUUAGGUAGCGCCUCGUGAAUUCAUCUCCGGGGGUAGAGCACUGUUUCGGCAAGGGGGUCAUCCCGACUUACCAACCCGAUGCAAACUGCGAAUACCGGAGAAUGUUAUCACGGGAGACACACGGCGGGUGCUAACGUCCGUCGUGAAGAGGGAAACAACCCAGACCGCCAGCUAAGGUCCCAAAGUCAUGGUUAAGUGGGAAACGAUGUGGGAAGGCCCAGACAGCCAGGAUGUUGGCUUAGAAGCAGCCAUCAUUUAAAGAAAGCGUAAUAGCUCACUGGUCGAGUCGGCCUGCGCGGAAGAUGUAACGGGGCUAAACCAUGCACCGAAGCUGCGGCAGCGACGCUGAUGCGUUGUUGGGUAGGGGAGCGUUCUGUAAGCCUGCGAAGGUGUGCUGUGAGGCAUGCUGGAGGUAUCAGAAGUGCGAAUGCUGACAUAAGUAACGAUAAAGCGGGUGAAAAGCCCGCUCGCCGGAAGACCAAGGGUUCCUGUCCAACGUUAAUCGGGGCAGGGUGAGUCGACCCCUAAGGCGAGGCCGAAAGGCGUAGUCGAUGGGAAACAGGUUAAUAUUCCUGUACUUGG
rnacentral:rRNA from 1 species